rnacentral:rRNA from 1 species
UGGGGAAUAUUGCACAAUGGGCGCAAGCCUGAUGCAGCCAUGCCGCGUGUGUGAAGAAGGCCUUCGGGUUGUAAAGCACUUUCAGCGAGGAGGAAGGGUAGUGUGUUAAUAGCACAUUGCAUUGACGUUACUCGCAGAAGAAGCACCGGCUAACUCCGUGCCAGCAGCCGCGGUAAUACGGAGGGUGCAAGCGUUAAUCGGAAUUACUGGGCGUAAAGCGCACGCAGGCGGUUUGUUAAGUCAGAUGUGAAAUCCCCGCGCUUAACGUGGGAACUGCAUUUGAAACUGGCAAGCUAGAGUCUUGUAGAGGGGGGUAGAAUUCCAGGUGUAGCGGUGAAAUGCGUAGAGAUCUGGAGGAAUACCGGUGGCGAAGGCGGCCCCCUGGACAAAAGACUGACGCUCAGGUGCGAAAGCGUGGGGAGCAAAACAGGAUUAGAUACCCUGGUAGUCCACGCUGUAAACGAUGUCGACUUGGAGGUUGUGCCCUUGAGGCGUGGCUUCCGGAGCUAACGCGUUAAAGUCGACCGCCUGGGGGAGUACGGCCNCAAGGUU